rnacentral:rRNA from 1 species
GACGAACGCUGGCGGCGUGCUUAACACAUGCAAGUCGAACGGAAAGGCCCUGCUUUCGUGGGGUGCUCGAGUGGCGAACGGGUGAGUAACACGUGAGUAACCUGCCCUUGACUUUGGGAUAACUUCAGGAAACUGGGGCUAAUACCGGAUAGGAGCUCCUGCUGCAUGGUGGGGGUUGGAAAGUUUCGGCGGUUGGGGAUGGACUCGCGGCUUAUCAGCUUGUUGGUGGGGUAGUGGCUUACCAAGGCUUUGACGGGUAGCCGGCCUGAGAGGGUGACCGGCCACAUUGGGACUGAGAUACGGCCCAGACGCCUACGGGAGGCAGCAGUGGGGAAUAUUGCACAAUGGGCGGAAGCCUGAUGCAGCAACGUCGCGUGCGGGAUGACGGCCUUCGGGUUAUAAACCGCUUUCGCCUGUGACGAAGCGUGAGUGACGGUAAUGGGUAAAGAAGCAACGGCUAACUACGUG